UACGUAGGGUGCGAGCGUUAAUCGGAAUUACUGGGCGUAAAGCGUGCGCAGGCGGUUUUGUAAGUCAGAUGUGAAAUCCCCGGGCUUAACCUGGGAACUGCGUUUGAAACUACAAGGCUAGAGUGUGGCAGAGGGGGGUGGAAUUCCACGUGUAGCAGUGAAAUGCGUAGAGAUGUGGAGGAACACCGAUGGCGAAGGCAGCCCCCUGGGUUAACACUGACGCUCAGGCAUGAAAGCGUGGGGAGCAAACAGG
rnacentral:rRNA from 1 species